GGACAGCAAGUAUUUGCCUAGAGUGCAUGCUAAGAAGUCUCCAUAGAUGUUUUUCUUUAAGUAUCCUGACCGCUUAACAUAUUGAUGAAGACCUCUUAUUUCCAGGUCAACAAUCAGCUGUUACCAACUUAAGCUUUCUAAACAUUUUCUGUGAAACAAAUUUUUGCCAGUAAGAAAAGGAAAUUGGGAGCUGCCACUGCUUAAUUAAUUUGAAGCUUUGAUAAGCUUUGCCAGAGAGUCGCAUAAUAGAAUUAGCAAGUUUCUUAACAGGCUAAUGUCAGAUUCCACACCCACAUACCUAAAAGAGGAGCCAGCCUGUCAAGGUGGCCCAGUUACAAAAGAGAGCUUCCAAUCAGCCUUUCCAUUCAGGAGACCGUUCUACUGGAGAAUGAUACCUGCUUACCCAAAACAGCCUUUCCUUUUCCUUCAUGAAUUACUAAUCAAGGAUGAUCAGAAAUAGGAACAAAAUCCACAGCCUGAAAGAGAAAGACCAAGCUAAACACCAAGAGUGAAUUACCCCUGAAGAAAUAAAGAUCAAAGAAGACAAAAAAUUUAAGCUUGUGUCCUUAGAGGAGGCACAGAAGAUAUUGCCUCCAUAAAAUAAGAGAAGGAUGCUAUUAAAAAUAAACAAUUAA
rnacentral:lncRNA from 10 species